rnacentral:rRNA from 1 species
CUACGUGCCAGCAGCCGCGGUAAUACGGAAGGUCCAGGCGUUAUCCGGAUUUAUUGGGUUUAAAGGGAGUGUAGGCGGUUUGUUAAGCGUGUUGUGAAAUUUAGGUGCUCAACAUUUAACUUGCAGCGCGAACUGUCAGACUUGAGUACACGCAACGUAUGCGGAAUUCAUGGUGUAGCGGUGAAAUGCUUAGAUAUCAUGAAGAACUCCGAUUGCGAAGGCAGCAUACGGGAGUGUAACUGACGCUUAAGCUCGAAGGUGCGGGUAUCGAACAGGAUUAGAUACCCUGGUAGUCCGCACAGUAAACGAUGGAUGCCCGCUGUUAGCGCCUGGCGUUAGCGGCUAAGCGAAAGCAUUAAGCAUCCCACCUGGGGAGUACGCCGGCAACGGUGAAACUCAAAGGAAUUGACGGGGGCCCGCACAAGCGGAGGAACAUGUGGUUUAAUUCGAUGAUACGCGAGGAACCUUACCUGGUCUUGACAU